rnacentral:rRNA from 1 species
GGAAUAUUGGGCAAUGGGCGAAAGCCUGACCCAGCAACGCCGCGUGAAGGAAGAAGGUUUUCGGAUCGUAAACUUCUGUCCUAUAUGAAGAUAAUGACGGUAGUAUAGGAGGAAGCCCCGGCUAACUACGUGCCAGCAGCCGCGGUAAUACGUAGGGGGCGAGCGUUGUCCGGAAUGAUUGGGCGUAAAGGGCGCGUAGGCGGCCUGUUAAGUCUGGAGUGAAAGUCCUGUUUUCAAGAUGGGAAUUGCUUUGGAUACUGAUGGGCUUGAGUGCAGGAGAGGUUAUCGGAAUUCCCGGUGUAGCGGUGAAAUGCGUAGAGAUCGGGAGGAACACCAGUGGCGAAGGCGGGUAACUGGACUGCAACUGACGCUGAGGCGCGAAAGUGUGGGGAGCAAACA